AACGCACCUUGCACCCUUUGGUAUUCCGAAGGGUACGCCCGUUUGAGUGUCAUUGUAAUCUCACCUCCAGGGCUUUGGUCUUGUGAAGUGGACUUGGGCCUUGUCGUUUCCUCACGACUGGUCUGAAAGCGAUGAGUGUACCCUGCUGUUGCAGCGUCUUCAGUGUGAUAAGCAUCUUCACUGAUACAAAGUUCCCUUGGGACACGCUCGCUCUAUGGGCCCUGCGCUUCCAACUGUCUUUCAGUAGACACUGCUUGACAAUUUGACCUCAAAUUGGGUGGGACUACCCGCUGAACUUAA
rnacentral:misc_RNA from 1 species